rnacentral:lncRNA from 1 species
UUUGAGACUUGCUUUGUGCCCAGGCUGGAGUGCAGUGGUACGAUCUUGGCUCACUGCAACUGCUAGGUUCAAGCGAUUCUCAUACCUCAGCCUCCUACGUAGCUGGGAUUACAGGCAUAGGUCACCACACCUGGCUAAUUUUUGUAUUUCUUGUAGAAACAUGGUUUUGCCAUGCUGGCCACACUGGUCUCAAACUCCUGGCCUCAAGUUAUCGCCCUGCCGCUCAGCCUUCUGAGUAGCUGGGAUUAUAGGCCUGCACCACCACGCCUGGCUAAUUUUCGUAUUUUUUGUAGAGAUGGGGUUUUGCCAUGUUGGCCACGCUGGUCUCAAACUCCUGGCCUCAAGCCAUCACCACCACAACCCCCCUCAAACCACCCCCCCGCCCCGAAAAAAAGUGCUGGGAUUACAGGCGUGAGCCACCACACUUUGGCCAAAAUAAUCCAGAUUUCUAAAGUCUAGGAUAUUUAUAUUGAAUGUGACUAGAUUUUUAAGUUUCAGAUAACUUUUAAUCAAUGCACCAAAGUUAACAAGCAACACAACGUUAUUGUUAAGUGGUAUGUGUGUUUUAGAUCCCAGGAUGCUUUAUGAUGUAUACGAUUGGUGGGAAAUUGAAAUUCGUAUUUCUUCUCUAUAAGCUUGUAUUGCCCUUUCUUUCAGUGAAGAUUAGGAGCUCUGAUUUUAUUACAGGUCUGUUCAUUUUAUGGCAUUCUCAAGGAAGAAAACAUGUCCUGUAGGUAAAUAUUUUAGAUCAAUGAAGCUUAGCUUACUAAGAACUAAUGUUUGUUUUACUUUAAUCAUUUGAUGAAAGUAUUAAAUGGAUUGUACACAUGUGCUUUCUUAGAAUAUAUUAAAACACUUUAAUUUUUCCUUGGUAAUUUAGGACUAUCAUCAUAAACUAUUUCCCCCCCAUUGUAAGUGGCUGCCGACCUGUAUUUUUCUGGAAUUGUGUUUUUGAUCCUUUUCAUACAACUGAGUAUUUGUUUCUAGCACCCCUUAACUUAUUUUGUUUCCAAGUUGCUGACUUACAGUAUAUUAGGAAGAGUGGAAAGUGGUCAAGAAAAAAAUAAGGCAACCAAGCUUAUUAAAUCAAUUAUGUAACAUUUCUGUACACAGUACAUCAGUGGACUUAAUUAGGGUGCCUCCUACCUCUUACACAAAUGAAAUGCUUUGUGACAGGUAUUCUUCCUCUUGAAAGGCUUUUUUAAGAAAAAAAUAAUUUUUAACUGUAUACUAGAUAAUCUGAGAUUGCAAAAGGAGCACCAGAUAAGGGAGGUGUUACCAUGCUGUGCAGCAGAAGAAGGCUUAUAAUUAAGUUUACUACACUUUAAUGUUGGGGUUAUUCUGAGCUCAAGAUACUCAUAGACCUUUGUCUGAUUUCCAGGGUCUUAUAUCUCACUUCACCCUUUGUGUUUAGUUACUGAAAGUUUAGGGAUGAAGAUAGAUUUACAG